rnacentral:rRNA from 1 species
AUUGAACGCUGGCGGCAGGCCUAACACAUGCAAGUCGAACGAGUGGCGGACGGGUGAGUAAUGUCUGGGAACCUGCCUGAUGGAGGGGGAUAACUACUGUAAACGGUAGCUAAUACUGCAUACCAUCAGAUGUGCCCAGAUGGGAUUAGCUAGUUGGUGGGGUAACGGCUAACCAAGGCGACGAUCCCUAGCUGGUCUGAGAGGAUGACCAGCCACACUGGAACUGAGACACGGUCCAGACUCCUACGGGAGGAAGCAGUGGGGAAUAUUGGACAAGGGGCGAAAGCCUGAUGCAGCCAUGCCGGGUGUAGGAAGAAGGUCUUCGGGUUGUAAAGUACUUUCAGCGGGGAGGCGUUACCCGAAGAAGAAGCACCGGCUAACUCCGUGCCAGCAGCCGCGGUAAUAC